GAGUUUGAUCCUGGCUCAGGACGAACGCUGGCGGCGUGCUUAACACAUGCAAGUCGAGCGAUGAAGUUCCUUCGGGAACGGAUUAGCGGCGGACGGGUGAGUAACACGUGGGUAACCUGCCUCAUAGAGGGGAAUAGCCUUCCGAAAGGAAGAUUAAUACCGCAUAAGAUUGUAGUUUCGCAUGAAACAGCAAUUAAAGGAGUAAUCCGCUAUGAGAUGGACCCGCGUCGCAUUAGCUAGUUGGUGAGGUAACGGCUCACCAAGGCGACGAUGCGUAGCCGACCUGAGAGGGUGAUCGGCCACAUUGGGACUGAGACACGGCCCAGACUCCUACGGGAGGCAGCAGUGGGGAAUAUUGCACAAUGGGGGAAACCCUGAUGCAGCAACGCCACGUGAGUGAUGAAGGUCUUCGGAUUGUAAAACUCUGUCUUCAGGGACGAUAAUGACGGUACCUGAGGAGGAAGCCACGGCUAACUACGUGCCAGCAGCCGCGGUAAUACGUAGGUGGCA
rnacentral:rRNA from 1 species